UGAAGCCAGGCCGUCAGUAUUGCAUACACAUGGGAGGAGGAGCGUGGCAUUAACCGCGGACGCGGCCUAGAAUGCGUUACAAAGCGUUCGAUCGGAUUAAGCGGCUAAUAGCCAGUCUAUAAUAAUAAUCCCGACAUAAUAACGUGGUAUUACGCGAAGGAUCGGGCUACACCGUAUAAUUUCGUCGCGGCGUGGUCGUAGCCCAACCGCCAAAAGGGCUAACCUAAAUCUCGGUUUCGUACCUCUUGCUCGAGAAAGAAGAUGAUGAUCGGCUAUCGCUGCCAAAACCGAUUAGCCAGAUCGAUCACACACAGCCUCUCGAUUAUUUUCUUUAAUAUCUCGCUCGUUGAAAUAAGUUAUCGCGUCGCUUCUUGUUGUCCUUUAGACCUUUCUUGGUUGGGGAAUAAAUCGAUGCGUGGUUAAAAGAAUCUUUGUCUUUCGAGUUUAAAAUUUAUUGGACCGAAAAACAAUUUUAUACACCGUUUGUGAAACGGGGAUGAAAAGAG